ACGAACGCUGACGGCGUGCUUAACACAUGCAAGUCGAACGAUGAACCCGGAGCUUGCUCUGGGGGAUUAGUGGCGAACGGGUGAGUAACACGUGAGUAACCUGCCCUGGACUCUGGGAUAAGCGUUGGAAACGACGUCUAAUACCGGAUAGGACCUUGGAUCGCAUGAUCUGGGGUGGAAAGUUUUUUCGGUCUGGGAUGGACUCGCGGCCUAUCAGCUUGUUGGUGAGGUAAUGGCUCACCAAGGCGUCGACGGGUAGCCGGCCUGAGAGGGUGACCGGCCACACUGGGACUGAGACACGGCCCAGACUCCUACGGGAGGCAGCAGUGGGGAAUAUUGCACAAUGGGCGAAAGCCUGAUGCAGCAACGCCGCGUGCGGGAUGACGGCCUUCGGGUUGUAAACCGCUUUUAGUAGGGAAGAAGGGCUUCGGCUUGACGGUACCUGCAGAAAAAGGACCGGCUAACUACGUG
rnacentral:rRNA from 1 species